rnacentral:rRNA from 1 species
GAUGAACGCUGGCGGCGUGCCUAAUACAUGCAAGUCGAGCGAACAGACGAGGAGCUUGCUCCUCUGACGUUACCGGCGGACGGGUGAGUAACACGUGGAUAACCUACCUAUAAGACUGGGAUAACUUCGGGAAACCGGAGCUAAUACCGGAUAAUAUAUUGAACCGCAUGGUUCAAUAGUGAAAGACGGUUUUGCUGUCACUUAUAGAUGGAUCCGCGCCGCAUUAGCUAGUUGGUAAGGUAACGGCUUACCAAGGCAACGAUGCGUAGCCGACCUGAGAGGGUGACCGGCCACACUGGAACUGAGACACGGUCCAGACUCCUACGGGAGGCAGCAGUAGGGAAUCUUCCGCAAUGGGCGCAAGCUUGACGGAGCAACGCCGCGUGAGGGAUGAAGGUCUUCGGAUCGUAAAACUCUGUUAUUAGGGAAGAACAAAUGUGUAAGUAACUAUGCACGUCUUGACGGUACCUAAUCAGAAAGCCACGGCUAACUACGUG